rnacentral:rRNA from 1 species
UACGGGGGAGCAAGCGUUGUUCGGAUUUACUGGCGUAAAGGGCGCGUAGGCGGCCAGCGCAAGUCAGUUGUGAAAUCUCCGGGCUUAACUCGGAACGGUCAACUGAUACUGCGCGGCUAGAGUGCAGAAGGGCAACUGGAAUUCUCGGUGUAGCGGUGAAAUGCGUAGAUAUCGAGAGGAACACCUGCGGCGAAGGCGGGUUGCUGGGCUGACACUGACGCUGAUGCGCGAAAGCCAGGGAGCGAACGGG